UUAAAAAUGCCAGUAUCCUGUAUGGCGAGAGGUCAGAUUAAAUCGAGUCAUAAUUAAGAUCUGUGGACGCUGUGUCUACACACUUUAAAAUGAAUUGGUUGCAUCUUUCUAACAGCAUUAGUAUUUGAAAUUAAUGGUUAGCACCGACGAUUCGACAAUCUCUGUUAGACGAUAAAUUUUGGCCGCGGGAUUAAUGGAGCGGCAGAUGAU
rnacentral:lncRNA from 1 species